AACAUUUUUUUAAGUAACUUUAUGUAUGGGAAAAUAUGCAACAUCAGGUCAUUUGGCAUCCACAAAUGAAACAAAUUUACAAUACAAAGUUAUCCACCUCCUCAAUUCAUCAAUUUACUGUUGUAUCUCCAGAUCAGUUCUUUCAAUUAUAACCAAAUAUCCAUAAAGACUGGUAUUACAUAUUGACAGCACUUCGAGUUUGCUGUCUUAAAUUUGUAACGGACAAAGGUAGGUAGAAACGGCAAGAAGCUUCUUAACUCUAACAUACGACAUUUUAAAAUUACUUCAAUCAGCUGAAAACCAGUUUAUAAUGCCCAAGAUAUGACAUAUUUUUAAAUGCAAAUUAUUUAGAAAUGACCUUCUGUUUUACUGUACUUUUAACCAUUACUGGUCUUUGUAAGCAAGAAAUGGAUUAAUAACUUCAUUACAAAGAUGAUAGGUACUACAUCUUAUUCAUACUGAUAUCUCCAGCCUAGUCCAGGCCCUGAUAUUCAAUAAUACUUCACUGAGCAAAAUCAUAAAUUAAUGAAUACAUGAAUGAAUGAAGAACAAAUGCAUAAAAUCACCUGCAGAAAAUUAAAUAAGAUACACAUUAAUAGAAAGCUCUACAUUUGCAAUAAUUUUAACAUAUUAAAGUGUUAAAUUGCUUUUAACACUCUAGUAAUAUAUUUAUAUCAAAGAUCCCAUCUAGGACUACAGAUGGGGAUCCUUGCCUUAAAAAUAAUUUCACUUACAUUAUUCAACAAAUGUUUCUUCAAAAAGAUGAUGGCAGAAACAUCACAAAAUGGGGAAUUUUGCACAAUUGCACUGACACUGUGUAAGUAAAGAUAUUUAUCCAAGGCAAAAACAAUUAUCAUUAGAGCAAAGAGAAAUGUUCAUAUUUAGGGAACUGGCUAGAAUGAGCUAAGUUACACUAAGGAACAAACAACCCCAAAUCUCAGUGGCUUAGAACGACAGAGGCUUAUUUCUCACCUAUAUGCUAUGUCUUUCCCAGAGUGGCUGAAGUUUCUGCUUUAUAGCAUCCCAUUCUAAGACCUUGUUGAUAGAGCAGCCACCAUCUCCUAUACAUCCAGUCCUUGAGUCAAAGUGGAAAGACAGCUCUGAAGACUCUUGCACCAGCAAUUAGAUGCCAGUCACCUGAUCCACAGGAAGCCCAAUCUUACAACCUUCUGGUGUGCCUCCAAGGUGACAGACUGAGCCCAAGCAGGAUCUCUGCACCCACCCAGGUACAGCUCACUGGAAAUAUUGCAGUUGUUUGCAGAACACCAUUGGGAAAGAAUGGAGGGUAAAGCCUUGAAGACUAAGUGGGAGCUGGUCAGAACACCUAUAUGGCAGAGGUGUUCAAGUUUCACACGUAAUGAUGUAAUCUGAAUAGGAAAAACAGUGAAAUGAGAUAUGAAGUUCUCACCAUGGGAUUUGGUAUUAGUUCAUCACAUCAGUAUGAACCCCCUCAAAUCCCUUGCCAUUCCAGCCAUGGUUCAUACUCUGCACUUCAAGAAAUAUGAGCUUCAACUAUAUCUGCAGGCUAGAUAAACCCUCAGAAAGCACAAGUUUAGAUCAGGAAAAGCCCCAAAACAGAAUCCUCAUACUUAAGAGGUGAGCAUAAAAAGAAGA
rnacentral:lncRNA from 1 species